CACAUGCAGUCGAACGAGUGAGAGAGAGCUUGCUUUCUCGAGCGAGUGGCGAACGGGUGAGUAACGCGUGAGGAACCUGCCUCAAAGAGGGGGACAACAGUUGGAAACGACUGCUAAUACCGCAUAAGCCCACGGCUCGGCAUCGAGCAGAGGGAAAAGGAGCAAUCCGCUUUGAGAUGGCCUCGCGUCCGAUUAGCUAGUUGGUGAGGUAACGGCCCACCAAGGCGACGAUCGGUAGCCGGACUGAGAGGUUGAACGGCCACAUUGGGACUGAGACACGGCCCAGACUCCUACGGGAGGCAGCAGUGGGGAAUAUUGCACAAUGGGGGAAACCCUGAUGCAGCGACGCCGCGUGGAGGAAGAAGGUCUUCGGAUUGUAAACUCCUGUUGUUGAGGAAGAUAAUGACGGUACUCAACAAGGAAGUGACGGCUAACUACGUGCCAGCAGCCGCGGUAAAACGUAGGUCACAAGCGUUGUCCGGAAUUACUGGGUGUAAAGGGAGCGCAGGCGGGAAGGCAAGUUGGAAGUGAAAUCCAUGGGCUCAACCCAUGAACUGCUUUCAAAACUGUUUUUCUUGAGUAGUGCAGAGGUAGGCGGAAUUCCCGGUGUAGCGGUGGAAUGCGUAGAUAUCGGGAGGAACACCAGUGGCGAAGGCGGCCUACUGGGCACCAACUGACGCUGAGGCUCGAAAGUGUGGGUAGCAAACAGGAUUAGAUACCCUGGUAGUCCACACUGUAAACGAUGAUUACUAGGUGUUGGAGGAUUGACCCCUUCAGUGCCGCAGUUAACACAAUAAGUAAUCCACCUGGGGAGUACGACCGCAAGGUUGAAACUCAAAGGAAUUGACGGGGGCCCGCACAAGCAGUGGAGUAUGUGGUUUAAUUCGACGCAACGCGAAGAACCUUACCAAGUCUUGACAUCCUGCGACGCACAUAGAAAUAUGUGUUUCC
rnacentral:rRNA from 1 species